rnacentral:rRNA from 1 species
AACGAACGCUGGCGGCAGGCUUAACACAUGCAAGUCGAACGCAUCCUUCGGGGUGAGUGGCAGACGGGUGAGUAACGCGUGGGAACGUGCCCUUCAGUUCGGGAUAACCCAGGGAAACUUGGGCUAAUACCGGAUACGUGCGAGAGCAGAAAGAUUUAUCGCUGAAGGAUCGGCCCGCGUCUGAUUAGCUAGUUGGUGGGGUAAUGGACCACCAAGGCGACGAUCAGUAGCUGGUCUGAGAGGAUGAUCAGCCACAUUGGGACUGGGACACGGCCCAAACUCCUACGGGAGGCAGCAGUGGGGAAUAUUGGACAAUGGGCGCAAGCCUGAUCCAGCCAUGCCGCGUGAGUGAUGAAGGCCUUAGGGUUGUAAAGCUCUUUCGUCCGGGACGAUAAUGACGGUACCGGAAGAAGAAGCCCCGGCUAACUUCGUGCCAGCAGCCGCAGUAA